rnacentral:rRNA from 1 species
CCUACGGGUGGCAGCAGUGGGGGAUAUUGCACAAUGGGGGAAACCCUGAUGCAGCGACGCCGCGUGUGGGAAGACGGUCUUCUGGAUUGUAAACCACUGUCCCCAGGGACGAAAAUGAUGGUACCUGGGGAGGAAGCUCCGGCUAACUACGUGCCAGCAGCCGCGGUAAUACGUAGGGAGCAAGCGUUGUCCGGAAUUACUGGGUGUAAAGGGAGCGUAGGCGGGGAUGCAAGUUGGGUGUCAAAACUACCGGCUCAACCGAUAGUCGCACUCAAAACUGCAACUCUUGAGUGAAGUAGAGGCAGGCGGAAUUCCUAGUGUAGCGGUGAAAUGCGUAGAUAUUAGGAGGAACACCAGUGGCGAAGGCGGCCUGCUGGGCUUUUACUGACGCUGAGGCUCGAAAGUGUGGGGAGCAAACAGGAUUAGAUACCCUGGUAGUC